rnacentral:miRNA from 1 species
UUUCCUAAAUUUCUUAAUCUGAUAUAAUGCCAUUUGUCAAACAGCAAAAUUUGACAAAUGACAUUAUAUCAGAUUAAGAAGUUUAGGAAA